rnacentral:tRNA from 1 species
CGCGGGGUGGACGAACGGUACGUCGGAGGGCUCAUAAUCCUCAGUAGCGGGUUCAAUUCCCGCCCCCGCAA